rnacentral:rRNA from 1 species
AACGAACGCUGGCGGCGUGCCUAACACAUGCAAGUCGAGCGAGAAAGUCCGCAAGGAUGAGUACAGCGGCGCACGGGUGCGUAACACGUGGGUAAUCUGCCCUGAAGCCCGGAAUAACCUCCCGAAAGGGAAGCUAAUGCCGGAUAAGACCACGGGAGCCUCGGCUCCUGCGGGAAAAGGUGGCCUCUGCACGCAAGCUAUCACUUCAGGAUGAGCCCGCGGCCCAUCAGCUCGUUGGCGGGGUAACGGCCCACCAAGGCUACGACGGGUAGCAGGGCUGAGAGGGCGAGCGGCCACACUGGAACCGGGACACGGUCCAGAAGCCUACGGGAGGCAGCAGGGGGGAAUCUUGCGCAAUGGGCGAAAGCCUGACGCAGCAACGCCGCGUGUGUGAUGAAGGUCUUCGGAUCGUAAAGCACUGUCGGGAGGAAAGAACAAGCCUGUGGCUAACAUCCACGGGCCUUGACGGUACCUCCAAAGGAAGCACCGGCUAACUCUGUGCCAGCCGCCGCCGUAACAC